rnacentral:tRNA from 1 species
GCCCUGGUGGCGAAACGGUUAAGCCUUCGGCUACUAACCAAAAGGUUGGUGGCUCGAACCCACCCAGUGGCU